rnacentral:rRNA from 1 species
ACUCGCCUGUUUUACAAAAACAUGUCUUAAUGUUAAUUAUAUAUUAAGUCUGGCCUGCUCAAUGAUUUUAUUAUAUAAUUAAAUAGCCGCAGUAUUUUGACUGUGCGAAGGUAGCAUAAUCAUUUGUCUUUUAAUUGAAGGCUUGUAUGAAUGGUUGGAUGAGAGAAUAACUUUCUUUACAUUAAAAAUUGAAUUUAAUUUUUUAGUCAAAAAGCUUAAAUUUAUAAAUGGGACGAGAAGACCCUAUAGAAUUUUACUUUUAUUUAAUGUAAUUGUUAAUUUGUUAAUAAUAACUACUUUACACAUGUUUAAAGUUUUGUUGGGGUGACAAUGAGAUUUACAUAACUCUCAUAUAUUAUUUAUUUAUUUAUUUAUAUAUUUUAGAUCCUAUUUUAAGGAUUAUUAGAUCAAAUUACCUUAGGGAUAACAGCGUAAUUUUUUUGGAGAGUUCUUAUCAAUAAAAAAGUUUGCGACCUCGAUGUUGGAUUAAAAUUAGAUUUAAGUGCAGAAGCUUAAUUACUAGGUCUGUUCGACCUUUAAAAUUUUACAUGAUUAAUUUCCAA